CGGGACGUGGGCAAGCGGCUAAGCCACCUCAUUUGGGAUGAGGGCGACGCAGGUUCGAGUCCUGCCGUUCCGACCG
rnacentral:tRNA from 1 species